rnacentral:rRNA from 1 species
UACGAAGGGUGCAAGCGUUAAUCGGUAUUACUGGGCGUAAAGGGUGCGUAGGCGGUUCGUUAAGUCUGUCGUGAAAUCCCCGGGCUCAACCUGGGAAUGGCGAUGGAUACUGGCGAGCUAGAGUGUGUCAGAGGAUGGUGGAAUUCCCGGUGUAGCGGUGAAAUGCGUAGAGAUCGGGAGGAACAUCAGUGGCGAAGGCGGCCAUCUGGGACAACACUGACGCUGAAGCACGAAAGCGUGGGGAGCAAACAGG